GUGAUGGUCUUAUUUUGUUUUAUUUAUUAAAUAUUGGUUUGAAUAAGCUUAAGGUUGAUGUGUUGGGUUUUUUUUUUUUUUUUUUUUUUUAUUUAAA